rnacentral:rRNA from 1 species
GACGAACGCUGGCGGCGUGCUUAACACAUGCAAGUCGAACGAUGAAGCCGGAGCUUGCUCUGGUGAAUUAGUGGCGAACGGGUGAGUAACACGUGAGUAACCUGCCCUUGACUCUGGGAUAACUGCGGGAAACUGUAGCUAAUACCGGAUACGACCCUCGGAGGCAUCUCCUGGGGGUGGAAAGAAUUUCGGUCAAGGAUGGACUCGCGGCCUAUCAGCUAGUUGGUGAGGUAAAGGCUCACCAAGGCGACGACGGGUAGCCGCCCUGAGAGGGUGACCGGCCGGACGGGGGAUGAGUAACGGCCCAGAUUCCUACGGGAGGCAGCAGUGGGGAAUAUUGCACAAUGGGCGGAAGCCUGAUGCAGCAACGCCGCGUGAGGGAUGACGGCCUUCGGGUUGUAAACCUCUUUUGGCAGGGAAGAAGCGAGAGUGACGGUACCUGCAGAAAAAGCACCGGCUAACUACGUGCCAGCCGCCGCAGUAA